CCCGCACAAGCGGUGGAGCAUGUGGUUUAAUUCGAUGGUACGCGAGGAACCUUACCAGGGCUUGACAUGCGCCGGAAGCGCACCGAAAGGUGCGUGCCGCUUGCGGCCGGCGCACAGGUGCUGCAUGGCUGUCGUCAGCUCGUGCUGUGAAGUGUUGGGUUAAGUCCCGCAACGAGCGCAACCCUGCUGCCUGUUGCCACCACGAGAGGGUGGGGACUCAGGCGGGACCGCCGGUGACAACCGGAGGAAGGUGGGGACGACGUCAAGUCAUCAUGGCCCUUAUGUCCUGGGCUACACACGUGCUACAAUGGCCGGUACAGAGCGCAGCGAGGCCGCGAGGCGGAGCGAAUCGCUUAAAGCCGGUCCCAGUACGGAUUGGAGUCUGCAACCCGACUCCAUGAAGUUGGAAUCGCUAGUAAUCGCGCAUCAGCAUGGCGCGGUGAAUACGUUCCCGGGCCUU
rnacentral:rRNA from 1 species